CUCCUAGGAACGAAACAAGAAGAAACAAUUAGGCGACUUUUGUUUCCUUCCCCAACAAGCUCAAGGAAAGUGGCAUUUGAUCAGACGGAGAUUCCAGAGUGCAGCACCGCUGAGACUUCCGCUCUGGGAGACCAAACAAACCCAAUUCUCGCUGGAAUUGGAGCCUUCAGCAGAGAAACAAGGGAGCCAGGUCCCUAGGCUGCCUCCCAUUUGGGGAAUCAUAAGUUGCCAUUAAUUUAAUUUCACAUAACUUAGCUCACAAUGAAAAAUCCAAGACAGCUACCAUAAGAAAGCGUAUGGGAAGAUGAAAUUUCCUGAAAAGAAAGCGGCCAAAGACAGAUGCCACAGAUGAGCAGGAGAAAAGCAGACAGAUGGAGUUUCUGGAAGCUCUACAUGACACGGGAGCCUGCGUAAGGAGGUGAAGACCCACGGAAAUUGUUAAGCCCAAGUGUUUGUGUGUGAGGUUUGGUGAAGAGUGGACAGUCGUGGGGCCACAGGACAGGACGAGGGUGGGAGGUUGGUGUAGUAAACCAGGACAAAAUCAAGGUCUGUUCAUUCAGAUUCUUCUCAGCGUCCCUCCUCAGGGCGCACCACUCACCUGAGGGUCUUCUGCAGGCUUCAGGGGGAUAGGAGGUCAGAGAACCCGUCCACAGCCUGUCAUUUCUUAAAUCUCUUCAACUUCAAAUAUUCAACACACCCACGUGCCAAGACACCAUGAGCCCCAUCGGACAGAAUCAUUAAUUCAAGCUUUGUUCUGAAAACUCUAACCAUGAGUUAGAUGUUUCUAACCUUUCAAAGCUUAGAAAAUCCAAACUUCUUAAGACCGUGACCCUGUUAAAUUAUUCUGAUUCUUCUUAAGACAGGAUAAUGGCAAUAGGUGUCCAGACUGUCGGAUACGGGCACUGCCGUGCAGCAAAGACGCUGUGGAUAUGUGGCCACAGGUCAUGGUCACGUGAGGCCGGUUCGGCCAGAACCCCUCCCGAUCUGUUGAUCUUACUGUACCCCAAACUUUAAUACACUAGCUGUAACUGUUGCUGUGACAAUAUUGUAAACUGUUUGUGGGAACAGGUUCUACAAUUGUCAACACCCGGCAUGGUGACUGGUCCUCAAGAUGUUUCUCAAAUGUAAGGAAACUAAACACAAAGACAUACAUUUCCGGGAAACAAAAUAAUAGACAAGAAAGGGAGGGA